AUGAUAGGACUCGUCGUCGCCGCGCUGCUCUUCCCAGCAGCUUUGUCAUCCACGCGGCCGGAUCAGCUUAUCUCCAUGACUACCGAUGGCCAGUACCAUAGUACACGUCCAGUAGUGACCAUAGCCGACGGUCUCACUGCGGACUACCAUGACGUGUCGUGCCCCGAUCUGCGGGGCAUCGUGCGCACCGCCGUGGUAGAAGCCGUACAGGGAGAUAUCACCAUCGCCGCUGACCUCCUCCGUAUGUUCUUCCACGACUGCUUCCCGCAGGGAUGCGAUGCGUCAAUUCUUUUGCUGGGAACUCCAUGGAGUGAGAUGAGAAUGCCGCCGAACCUCUCUCUAGAUAUCAGGCGGAAAGUGGCGUUCCUCAUGGAAGACAUCCGCGCCAAGGUGCACGAAGCCUGUGGACCCACCGUCUCUUGCGCCGACAUCAUGGCCCUUGCCACUCACGACGCCGUUGUAGCGUCAGGUGGCGAACCCUACCAUGUGCCACUCGGUAGGCUUGACAGCUUCGAGCCCGCGCCGCUGAGGUUUGUCGAGGAGCUCCCGCCCCCCACCUUCAGCAUUGACCAACUUAUAGCUGCCUUCAGAAGCCGCAGCCUCGACGAGAAAGACCUCGUGGUGCUCUCUGGUGCGCAUACCAUUGGGAAAGCUCGUUGCGCCACCUUCAGCGACCGUUUCCCCAACUCCGACUCUGAUGACUUUGUUCGAAGGCUACAAGAUAACUGCACCACCGACGUGAACCGCCGUCAGGACCUCGAUGUUACCACCCCGGAAAAGUUCGACAACAAGUACUACAUCAACCUCAAGCAGGGGAAGGGGGUUCUUACCUCCGAUGUGCAGCUCCUCCUCAACAAGACUACCCGAGGAUACGUGAACGACUUUGCCGACAAUGAGUGGUGGUUCUGGAACCAGUUCGGCAGCUCCAUGAGCAAGAUGGGGAUGCUCCAGGGACCUCAAGGGAACGUCGGCCGCAUCCGCCAGCAGUGCUACUAG
rnacentral:rRNA from 1 species